UACGGGGGGAGCAAGCGUUGUUCGGAUUUACUGGGCGUAAAGGGUGCGUAGGUGGCGCCGUAAGUCGGGUGUGAAAUUUCGGAGCUUAACUCCGAAACUGCAUUUGAUACUGCGGUGCUUGAGGACUGGAGAGGAGACUGGAAUUUAUGGUGUAGCAGUGAAAUGCGUAGAUAUCAUAAGGAAGACCAGUGGCGAAGGCGGGUCUCUGGACAGUUCCUGACACUGAGACACGAAGGCCAGGGGAGCAAACGGG
rnacentral:rRNA from 1 species